AGAGUUUAUCAUGGCUCAGGACGAACGCUAGCGGCAGGCUUAAUACAUGCAAGUCGUGGGGCAGCAGGUCUGUAGCAAUACAGAUGCUGGCGACCGGCAAACGGGUGCGGAACACGUACACAACCUUCCUUUAAGUGGGGAAUAGCCCAGGGAAACUUGGAUUAAUACCCCGUAAUAUAUAGAAGUGGCAUCACUUUUAUAUUAUAGCAGCAAUGCGCUUGAAGAUGGGUGUGCGGCUGAUUAGAUAGUUGGCGGGGUAACGGCCCACCAAGUCGACGAUCAGUAACUGGUGUGAGAGCACGACCAGUCACACGGGCACUGAGACACGGGCCCGACUCCUACGGGAGGCAGCAGUAAGGAAUAUUGGUCAAUGGACGCAAGUCUGAACCAGCCAUGCCGCGUGGAGGAUGAAGGUCCUCUGGAUUGUAAACUUCUUUUAUUUGGGAAGAAACCCAUCUUUUCUUGGAUGGCUGACGGUACCAGAUGAAUAAGCACCGGCUAACUCCGUGCCAGCAGCCGCGGUAAUACGGAGGGUGCAAGCGUUAUCCGGAUUCACUGGGUUUAAAGGGUGCGUAGGUGGGCAGGUAAGUCAGUGGUGAAAUCUCCGGGCUUAACCCGGAAACUGCCAUUGAUACUAUUUGUCUUGAAUACUGUGGAGGUCAGCGGAAUAUGUCAUGUAGCGGUGAAAUGCUUAGAUAUGACAUAGAACACCAAUUGCG
rnacentral:rRNA from 1 species